UUCUCUGAGAAUAAUUUGCUA
rnacentral:piRNA from 1 species